AUACUACCAUUAUCCCCAUGGUAACCAGUCUCUGAGUGGGAGUGGUCAGCCUCAAGGAGAAUGGUGGGAAAAACUGCUUCCUGGAGAAAAGGGAAGAAGUUCCCCUUGCCUUGAUGGUCUCCUCAAAACUGAACUGCUCUGAAGCCAUGGAAUGAAUAAGCAAUUCCUCCUGGAAGUUGUUUCCGUCUGCUGUUUGGUAGCAGUGAUGAGGACAGGAAAGAACCUAGAGCCCUGACCCCAGGAUGGUGACAGUAGAAGGGUUGUUGCUGGAGAUAAUGGGUGUGAAGCGCGUAAAUCAUUGCACAAAUAAAGUGCUGUUAUUAGCAUCUCUGCUGAAUCUAUAGA